rnacentral:rRNA from 1 species
UGCCAGCCGCCGCGGUAAUACGGGGGGACUAACGUUGUUCGGAUUUACUGGGCGUAAAGGGUGCGUAGGCGGACCUUCAAGUCGGAUGUGAAAUCUAUAGGCUCAACUUAUAGCUUGCAUUCGAAACUGAUGGUCUUGAGUGGAUUAGAGGAAUGCGGAAUUCCAGGUGCAGCGGUGAAAUGCGUAGAUAUCUGGAGGAACACCAGUAGCGAAGGCGGCAUUCUGGGAUCAUACUGACGCUGAAGCACGAAGGCUAGGGGAGCAAACAGGAUUAGAUAC